rnacentral:rRNA from 3 species
GACGAACCGUGCGAACGUUAUUCGGAAUCACUGGGCUUAAAGCGCGUGUAGGCGGGACGGCACGUCUGUCGCUGAAAUCCCCCGGCUUAACCGGGGAACUGGCGUAGAUACGACCGUCCUGGAGGGGCGUAGGGGGACCUGGAACUUCCGGUGGAGCGGUGAAAUGCGUUGAGAUCGGAAGGAACGCCCGUGGCGAAAGCGAGGUCCUGGACGCCUACUGACGCUGAGACGCGAAAGCCAGGGGAGCGAACGGG